CCAUGUGUAAAUGCCGAUCAUAAUUAACUAACGGCAUAAAAGUUUAUGAAAGUAUCUAGCUUAAGAUCCGUAAGUAGGUAUAGCUUCUGGAUCAUGAACUGGCUAUAAUUUGAGAUAUUUAGAUUAACUAGAGCUUUAUAUUAGCUCCAGCUGAUAUAGACGGCCUAUAACUCAACCACCAAUUAAGAUGUGCUUUCACAUUCAAUUAGUCGUCGUUGCCAUCUAAUGCUAAUUCAACUAGACCACCCACAUGAUGGAAUUGCUACUCUGUUUGUACUUUGCUAGGUAUCCAGUUCCACACGUACACUUUUGUGUGCAUUGCAUUGCAUGGGUCUCUUUCCACUUCCCCGAUCGCAUAGUUCGCCCGAUGUAUUUGAAUCACGCACGUACAGGGAAAAGCAUAGACUUAGCGACAUGCAUGAGUCUAUGAGAGCGAUGUAUCAUGUCUGCCUCUCGACCAAAGUCUUUUCCCUCCUUAUUUUUCAUGCAUUUUCCAA
rnacentral:lncRNA from 1 species